rnacentral:rRNA from 1 species
AGAGUUUGAUCCUGGCUCAGGACGAACGCUGGCGGCGUGCCUAAUACAUGCAAGUCGAACGCAUUUUCUUUCACCGUAGCUUGCUACACCGAAAGAAAGUGAGUGGCGAACGGGUGAGUAACACGUGGGUAACCUGCCCAUCAGCGGGGGAUAACACUUGGAAACAGGUGCUAAUACCGCAUAAUUCCAUUUACCGCAUGGUAGAUGGAUGAAAGGCGCUUUUGCGUCACUGAUGGAUGGACCCGCGGUGCAUUAGCUAGUUGGUGGGGUAACGGCCUACCAAGGCUGCGAUGCAUAGCCGACCUGAGAGGGUGAUCGGCCACACUGGGACUGAGACACGGCCCAGACUCCUACGGGAGGCAGCAGUAGGGAAUCUUCGGCAAUGGACGCAAGUCUGACCGAGCAACGCCGCGUGAGUGAAGAAGGUUUUCGGAUCGUAAAACUCUGUUGUUAGAGAAGAACAAGGAUGAGAGUGGAAAGUUCAUCCCUUGACGGUAUCUAACCAGAAG